rnacentral:rRNA from 1 species
AGCGGUAGCACAGAGUGCGUGGUCUCGGGCGAACAGGGUCGUCCGUCUGGGAAUGUCUGAUGAAACUGCGGGAUGGAGGGGGAUAAUUUCUGUAAACGGUAGCUAAUAGGGCUUAGCGUCGGUUGACCGAAGUGGGGGACCUUCGGGGCUCGGCCAUCAGAUGUGCCCAGAUGGUAUGAGGUAGGUGGGGGGGUAGCGGCUCACCUGGGCAACGAUCCCUAUCUGGUCUAAAAGAUGGCCGCCCGCGUUGGAACUGAGACACGGUCCAAACUCCUACGGGAGGCAGCAGUGGGAAAUUUUGCACAAUGGGCGCAAGCCUGAUGCACCCUUGCCGCGUGUGUAAAGAAGGCCUUCGGGUUGUAAAGCACUUUCAGCGGGGAGGAAGGCGGUGAGGUUAAUAACCUCAUCGAUUGACUUUACCCGCAAAAAAAGCACCGGCUAACUCCGUGCCAGCAGCCGCGGUAAUACGGAGGGUGCAAGCGUUAAUCGGAAUUACUGGGCGUAAAGCGCACGCAGGCGG